rnacentral:rRNA from 1 species
GAGGAGCUUGCUCCUUGAAGAUCUAGUGGCGAACGGGUGAGUAACACGUGAAGAACCUGCCCCGGACUCUGGGAUAACUCGAGGAAACUCGAGCUAAUACCGGAUACCUUCUCGAGGUCGCAUGGCCAUGAGAAGAAAGUUUUUCGGUCUGGGAGGGCUUCGCGGCCUAUCAGCUAGUUGGUGAGGUAACGGCUCACCAAGGCUACGACGGGUAGCUGGUUUGAGAGAACGAUCAGCCACACUGGGACUGAGACACGGCCCAGACUCCUACGGGAGGCAGCAGUGGGGAAUCUUGCGCAAUGGGCGAAAGCCUGACGCAGCAACGCCGCGUGCGGGAUGAAGGCCUUCGGGUUGUAAACCGCUUUCAGCAGGGACGAAAAUGACGGUACCUGCAGAAGAAGCUCCGGCUAACUACGUGCCAGCAGCCGCGGUAAUACGUAGGGGGCAAGCGUUGUCCGGAUUUAUUGGGCGUAAAGAGCUCGUAGGCGGUUCCGUAAGUCGGAUGUGAAAAAUCUGGGCUCAACCCAGUGGAGCACCCGAUACUGCGGUGACUCGAGUCCGGUAGGGGAGUGUGGAAUUCCUGGUGUAGCGGUGAAAUGCGCAGAUAUCAGGAGGAACACCGACGGCGAAGGCAGCACUCUGGGCCGGUACUGACGCUGAGGAGCGAAAGCAUGGGGAGCGAACAGAAUUAGAUACCCUGGUAGUCCAUGCCGUAAACGUUGGGCACUAGGUGUGGGGAGGA